GGUGGUUUAGUUGGUUAAAACGCCGGACUAGCGAUACGUAAUCGUAGGUUCAAAUCCCAUCC
rnacentral:tRNA from 1 species